rnacentral:rRNA from 1 species
ACUACGGGAGGCAGCAGUGGGGGAUAUUGCACAAUGGGGGAAACCCUGAUGCAGCGACGCCGCGUGAGCGAUGAAGUAUUUCGGUAUGUAAAGCUCUAUCAGCAGGGAAGAAAAUGACGGUACCUGACUAAGAAGACCCGGCUAACCACGUGCCAGCAGCCGCGGUAAUACGUAGGGGGCAAGCUUUAUCCGGAUUUCCGGGGUGUAAAGGGAGCGUAGACGGCAGUGCCAGUCUGAAGUGAAAGGCAAGGGCUCAACCCUUGGACUGCUUUGGAAACUGUGCUGCUGGAGUGUCGGAGAGGCAAGUGGAUUUCCUAGUGUAGCGGUGAAAUGCGUAGCUCUUAGGAGGACCACCAGUGGCGAAGGCGUCUUGCUGGACGAUGACUGACGUUGCGUCUCGAAAGCGUGGGGAGCAAACAGGAUUAGAUACCCUUGUAGUC